rnacentral:lncRNA from 1 species
AGUGAUGGUGAAUCUUUGGGCUAUGGGGCAUGAUCCCACGAUAUGGGACGAUCCAUUAUCGUUUAUGCCAGAGCGAUUUUUGAACUCGAAUUUGGAGUUUAAAGGGCAACAUUUUGAGUUUUUGCCAUUUGGUGGUGGAAGAAGAAUGUGCCCAGGUUUACCAUAUGCUCACAGGCAAUUGCAGUUAAUUUUGGCUUCUUUGAUAUGUUAAUUUAAAUGGUCUCUUCCAAAUGAUAGGCAGAUAGACAUGGAUGAAAAAUAUGCAGUGCCAUUGCAGAUGAAGAAGCCGUUGCUGCUAAUUCCGUCCAGGAGAUGUUAAUAUAAUUUGAAGCUUGUUUGUUUCUAUAAAAUAAAUGUGAGUGUUAUGCACAACUGUUAAGACCUACUCACCGGUAUUUGAGAUGAUGUGAUUUAAGUGGACGUUUUACUACUUGUACAUUUAUAAAGGUCCCACUAAGUAUAUCCCUUAGAAGUGUAAUCUAAUUGUAAAGAUCCACAUCUUAUUACAGCCUGAUUUCAUGAUGAAUUAUGUUACAAGUACACUAAUUUUUAAACCAUCUUUCACAAAUGAUCGCUGGCCUACUCACGUGAGUGGGCUAUCAAGCUGGAUAUCUAUUAAGAAUGUGAAUAUGUAAAUUAUGUAUCUUAAAUAUAUAAACAAUGUUAUUGAUGAAGAAAAUUUCUUCGGUCUGGGUUCAGGAUGAAGCCUAAUUGGAAGGCUCAUAUAUUUCAAAGUUAGUGAGCCCAAAAUUAGUUCGAUGUAGUGUCAUUUUGACUGUUAAGAGAAAUGUAAUUUGUCAGUCAAGCAGCCAAAUGGUUUUCUAGUUUUGAUUGUUGUACAUUCAGCAUAAUUCUUUCAUGAUCUUAAGAGCGUAAAUAUGUAAAUUAUGUAUCUUAAAUAUGUAAACGAUGUUAUUGAUGAAGAAAAUUUCUUUGGUCUAGGUUCAAGAUGAAGUCCAAUUGGUCUUCGGUGCGCUCAAAGGCUCAUAUAUUUGAAAGUUAGUGAGCCGAAAAUUUGUUUGACGUAGUAUCAUUUUGACUGUCAAGA